AAGGUUCAAGUUAGAUUUUCUCCCUCAAGAGUAGAGAGCAACGACCUGGUAUGUCAUAGCUUUUGGUGAUGUCGUAGCUGUAGUUAGGUGUUUUAUAUCCAGAGGACCACCAAAAAUCAUAGUUAGGAGUUGUCCGAGUACUUUUAAAUAGAUAAAAAUUCCAACACCGGUCUUGUUUUUUCGGCCGUUGAUGAGGAACGCAGCGAAAUGUGUUAAGUAAGGUGAAUUGCAGAAUUCAGUGAAUCAUAGAAUCUUUGAACGCACAUUGCGCCCCUUGGUAUUCCGGGGGGCAUGCCUGUUCGAGCGUCAUUUAUACCAAUCUAGCCUGGCUAGGUGUUGGGCUUCGCCGUUUGGCGGGCCUUAAAACCAGUGGCGGUGCUCUUAGGCUCUACGCGUAGUAAUUUUCUCGCUAUAGGGUCCUGGGAGACGCUUGCCAGCAACCCCAAAUUUUUCUAGGUUGACCUCGGAUCAGGUAGGGAUACCCGCUGAACUUAA
rnacentral:rRNA from 1 species